GGCCAGUGAUGAGCUUGGCCUGGGUUUGCUGAGCUGGAGCUGAUGCCAACCUCUGUAGCUCUAGAAUUACUCUGAGGCCCA